rnacentral:rRNA from 1 species
UAUAUUUUCCUGCCUGAUGGGGCAAAAUUCUACACAUUUGGGCCGACGGCCAUAUGUUGGGUGAUAUGGAACUGCCGUAACCAAGCUACCUUCGAAGGGGAAAAAUUGAGAACACCUUUUGAUAUUGUGUUCUCUACUUGUGGCUAUAUUACUUACUGGGCAGGUUUGAUGAAUGGAGUUGAUCGUGAGGCGAUGGAACAUGGAGCAAAGAUGCUGAGGACCAAUGCCUCGACGAUGAUGAGGAUAUGUACAGGUGGAGCGGCGGAAGAUUUGUGA